rnacentral:rRNA from 1 species
GAAAAGUUAUAAGGGCAGAUGGCGGAUGCCUAGGCUCUUGGAGGCGACGAAGGACGUGAUAAGCUGCGAUAAGCUGCGGGGAUUGGCACAUACGAAUUGAUCCGCAGAUUUCCGAAUGGGGCAACCCACUAGACUGGAGGUCUAGUAUCUCGUAAGAGAGGUCAACGAGGGGAACUGAAACAUCUCAGUACCCUCAGGAAAAGAAAACAAAAGUGAUUCCCUUAGUAGUGGCGAGCGAACGGGGAAUAGCCCAAACCGCAGAUGUUUCGGCAUCUACGGGGUUGUAGGAGUAACAUUAAUGUACUAUACACGUGUAGAAGAACGGAUUGGAAAGUCCGACCAUAGAGGGUGAUAGUCCCGUAUUUGAAACAUGUUUGUAGACAGAGUUACCACCUGAGUAGCGCGGGACACGAGAAAUCCUGUGUGAAUCCGGCGGGACCAUCCGCCAAGGCUAAAUACUCGCAAGAGACCGAUAGCGAACCAGUACCGUGAGGGAAAGGUGAAAAGCACCGCGAGCAGCGGAGUGAAAAAGUUCCUGAAACCGUACGCCUACAAGCGGUCGGAGCGCCUUCGUGGCGUGACGGCGUGCCUUUUGCAUAAUGAACCUACGAGUUGCCGUCGCCGGCGAGGUUAAGUGCUAUGAAGCACGGAACCGAAGCGAAAGCGAGUCCCAACGAGGCGCCGAGUCAGCGGCGGCAGACGCGAAACCGAGUGAUCUACCCUUGUCCAGGUUGAAGUCCGGGUAACACCGGAUGGAGGACCGCACCAAUAAGCGUUGAAAAGCUUCUGGAUGAGGUGAGGGUAGGAGUGAAAGGCCAAUCAAACUCGGAGAUAGCUCGUACUCCCCGAAAUGCAUUUAGGUGCAGCCUCGGGAGUUCCCCGCGUGAGGUAGAGCGACUGAUCGGAUGCGAGGGCUUCACCGCCUAUCAAGUCCGGACAAACUCCGAAUGCGCGCGGGCCAAUCCCGGGAGUGAGGGCAUGGGUGCUAAGGUCCGUGCCCGAGAGGAGAAGAAUCCAGACCGCCGGCUAAGGCCCCGAAAUAUGGGUUAAGUUAAACUAACGAAGUGCGGUCCCGGUGACAGCUAGGAUGUUGGCUUGGAAGCAGCCAUUCAUUCAAAGAGUGCGUAACAGCUCACUAGUCGAGGGACUGUGCAUGGAUAAUAAUCGGGUAUGAAACCCAUUGCCGAAGCCGCGGGACACUUUAUGUGUCGGUAGGGGAGCAUUCCAGCCGCGCCGAAGCCGUGAGGACGACUCACGGUGGAGCAUCUGGAAAAGCAAAUGUAGGUAUAAGUAACGAUAAAGAGUGUGAGAUGCACUCUCGCCGUAAGACUAAGGUUUCCCGGGCAACGUUAAUCGGCCCGGGGUCAGUCGGGACCUAAGGAUAAGCCGAAAGGCGAGGCCGAUGGCAGAAAGGGUUAAUAUUCCCUUACUACCUUUAUGGGCGAUGCGGAGACGGAGAAGUGAAACUCCCGCGCGCUGACGGAAUAGCGCGUUAAAGGGUGUAGGCGCAGAUCGCGGCAGGCAAAUCCACCGCGAGAGCCGAACCUGACAGUACACAAAGCCUUCGGGCGGCGUGACAGCGGAGGUAAGCAAGCUCCCGAGAAAAUCCGCUAAGCUCAACCAUAGAGGUACCCGUACCGCAAACGGACACACGUAGUCGGGUAGAAUAUACCAAGGCGCUUGGAAGAUUCACGGUUAAGGAACUAGGCAAAUUGACCCCGUAACUUCGGAAUAAGGGGUCCUCACGCGAGUGAGGCGCAGAGAAUAGGUCCAGGCAACUGUUUAACAAAAACACAGGGCUGUGCAAACUCGAAAGAUGACGUAUACAGCCUGACACCUGCCCGGUGCCGGAAGGUUAAGAGGAGAUGUCACUCGCAAGAGGAAGCAUUGAAUUGAAGCCCCGGUAAACGGCGGCCGUAACUAUAACGGUCCUAAGGUAGCGAAAUUCCUUGUC